rnacentral:rRNA from 1 species
GACGAACGCUGGCGGCACGCUUAACAUAUGCAAGUCGAACGGAAAGGCCUGCUUUCCCUUGUGGAUUGCGGGUACUCGAGUGGCGAACGGGUGAGUAACACGUGAGUGAUCUGCCCCCAACUUGGGUAUAAGCCUGGGAAACUGGGUCUAAUUCCCGAUAGGACUGCAGGGUGGUGCCUGUGGUGGAAAACGAUUUUCUAGUGGUUGGGGAUGAGCUCGCGGCCUAUCAGCUUGUUGGUGGGGUAAUGGCCUACCAAGGCGGCGACGGGUAGCCGGCCUGAGAGGGUGGACGGCCACAUUGGGACUGAGAUACGGCCCAGACUCCUACGGGAGGCAGCAGUGGGGAAUAUUGCACAAUGGGCGGAAGCCUGAUGCAGCGACGCCGCGUGGGGGAUGACGGCCUUCGGGUUGUAAACUCCUUUCGACCGCGAGGAAGCCACCUGGUUGGAAGGGUGGUGACGGUAGUGGUAGAAGAAGCACCGGCUAACUACGUG